GAUGAACGCUAGCUACAGGCUUAACACAUGCAAGUCGAGGGACCGGCGCACGGGUGAGUAACACGUAUCCAACCUGCCCUUUACUCGGGGAUAGCCUUUCGAAAGAAAGAUUAAUACCCGAUAUAAAGGAUGGGGAUGCGUUCCAUUAGGUUGUUGGUGAGGUAACGGCCCACCAAGCCUUCGAUGGAUAGGGGUUCUGAGAGGAAGGUACCCCAACAUUGAAAUUGGGCAACGUCCAAAACCCUUCGGGAGGGAGCAGUGAGGAAUAUUGGGCAAAUGGCGUUAACCUGAACCCGCCCAGUAGGGUGAAGGAUGAAGGCUUAUAGGUCGUAAACUUCUUUUAUAUAAGAAUAUGUAUUAUAUGAAUAAGGAUCGGCUAACUCCGUGCCAGCAGCCGCGGUAAUAC
rnacentral:rRNA from 1 species